rnacentral:rRNA from 1 species
UACGGGGGGUGCGAGCGUUGUCCGGAAUCACUGGGCGUAAAGAGCUCGUAGGCGGUCUGUUGCGUCUGCUGUGAAAACCCGGGGCUUAACCCCUGGCUUGCAGUGGAUACGGACAGACUAGAGGUAGGUAGGGGAGAAUGGAAUUCCCGGUGUAGCGGUGAAAUGCGCAGAUAUCGGGAGGAACACCGGUGGCGAAGGCGGUUCUCUGGGCCUUACCUGACGCUGAGGAGCGAAAGCGUGGGGAGCGAACAGG